CUUGCACAGCAACCUCUUUGCUAUGGAGGGACAGAUUCUGCUCACAGGGCAGUGUCUUUGGAGCCACCUUGCACUAACAGCAGUGUAAUUGGCAGCUUGUUUUGGUUGCCUUCUCAAUUUUCUUGCUCUGGCAGCAGAAACAGAAGAGGAGCCCCAGCCUGCAGCCUUACAUGUGGGCAUCCUACACAGCCUGAUGGGUGGAAAAUGCUGCUGGAUUCCAAAAAAACACAGUGCUCUUACAUCAUUUCUCUAGUGCUGGAAUAACAACAGAGGCUGCCUUAGGGCAGGAAAGGCCAGGUGUCUGCGCUGAGCCUCUCAGAUCUGCUGCCCAUCUUUGAUGCUGCUGGCACAAGAGAUUUGGGGCCAAGCAGAGCUGUUUUGUCUUCAUUGAGCCAGACCCUCCAGCUUCUCAACGGCCAACCAACAUGUAUCUGGUCUUCAAGACCAUAUGAAUCUUUUCCAGCCAGCUUUUUCCAGUGCACAGUGUGCGCUGUUCCUGGUAAUGUCUCACUUCAGCUACAUUAGCCCUAGAAGAGUUUU